rnacentral:rRNA from 1 species
AGGACGAACGCUGGCGGCGUGCUUAACACAUGCAAGUCGAGCGGUAAGGCCUUUCGGGGUACACGAGCGGCGAACGGGUGAGUAACACGUGGGUGAUCUGCCCUGCACUCUGGGAUAAGCCUGGGAAACUGGGUCUAAUACCGGAUAUGACCUGCUCUCGCAUGGGGGUGGGUGGAAAGAUUUAUCGGUGCAGGAUGGGCCCGCGGCCCAUCAGCUUGUUGGUGGGUAAUGGCCUACCAAGGCGACGACGGGUAGCCGACCUGAGGAGGGUGACCGGCCACACGUGGGACUGAGACACGGCCCAGACUCCGACGGGAGCAGCGAGUGGGAAUAGUUGACACGAAGUGGGACGAAAGCCUAGAUGCAGCGACGCCGCGUGAGGAGUGAAGGUCCGUUCGGUUAGUAAACCUCUUACAGUCGAGGACGAAGCGACG